rnacentral:snRNA from 1 species
GUUUGUUUUUGACUUUUUGGCAAAGAUCAAGUGUAGCAUAUGUUUUUAUCAGUUUAAUAUCUGUUAUAUCCUCAACUUGAGGAUUUUAUAUUAAAUGGGUUUGGGGACUGGGAAAUGUACUUGAAGCUUACACCAUCCUCU